rnacentral:lncRNA from 1 species
CAUAAAAAUCAGAUCCUGUGAUUAGAGUGAUUUUUGGAAUGUCAUUUCAGCCAAUAUUGCUUUUCAAAAUUAAGUCUUGCUAGUAGAAUGGAUGCCACCAGAUCACUGUCAAAAAAAUAAGAAAUGCCUGCCUUUCCUGGUCUCUUCCUAGAUGGCUGUGAUACCACAGGGAUACUGCUGUCAUUGUGUGCCAUGAGAGCAUGAAAUGCACUACAUCUUUCUUUUGGGAGACAACAAACUUGACUGCCAUGGAGAACACAGGAGAGCUUGGGCAACUGCACUUAAGUGCAUUAAUAGAAAUAGAAGAAAGACAGAAGACUCCCCCAAAUUAUAUGGAUAAUACAAACCCACAGCAGCAGGCAUUGGCCCUUGUGGUCCCAGGGACUGAAUGCAUCUGUUUACUUCUGCAGAGCUCUGAUCUCAGGUCACUCGUGAACAACCUGGGCAGCGCUGGCUCUGACACUGACGUCCAGGAGACUGCAGUGCUCUCCUUCCCUGCAAAAACCCAUUGUCUGUACCUAGAGCUCAAGUGA